rnacentral:rRNA from 1 species
AGCGAACGCUGGCGGCAGGCCUAAUACAUGCAAGUCGAACGGCUUCUUCGGAAGCAGUGGCGGACGGGUGAGUAACGCGUGGGAACGUGCCCUUUGGUUCGGAACAACACAGGGAAACUUGUGCUAAUACCGAAUGUGCCCUUCGGGGAAAGGAUUUAUCGCCAUUGGAGCGGCCCGCGUUGGAUUAGCUAGUUGGUGGGGUAAAAGCUCACCAAGGCUACGAUCCAUAGCUGGUCUGAGAGGAUGAUCAGCCACACUGGGACUGAGACACGGCCCAGACUCCUACGGGAGGCAGCAGGUAGGGAAUCUUGCGCAAUGGGCGAAAGCCUGACGCAGCCAUGCCGCGUGAGGGAUGACGGCC